rnacentral:rRNA from 1 species
GAUGAACGCUGGCGGCGUGCUUAACACAUGCAAGUCGAACGAUGAAGCCCAGCUUGCUGGGUGGAUUAGUGGCGAACGGGUGAGUAACACGUGAGUAACCGGCCCUUGACUCUGGGAUAAGCCUGGGAAACUGGGUCUAAUACUGGAUAUGACUUCUCAUCGCAUGGUGGGGGGUGGAAAGAUUUAUUGGUCUUGGAUGGACUCGCGGCCUAUCAGCUUGUUGGUGAGGUAAUGGCUCACCAAGGCGACGACGGGUAGCCGGCCUGAGAGGGUGACCGGCCACACUGGGACUGAGACACGGCCCAGACUCCUACGGGAGGCAGCAGUGGGGAAUAUUGCACAAUGGGCGCAAGCCUGAUGCAGCGACGCCGCGUGAGGGAUGACGGCCUUCGGGUUGUAAACCUCUUUCAGUAGGGAAGAAGCGAGAGUGACGGUACCUGCAGAAGAAGCGCCGGCUAACUACGUG